AGUGAACGCUGGCGGUAGGCCUAACACAUGCCAGUCGAACGGCAGCACAGUAAGAGCUUGCUCUUACGGGUGGCGAGUGGCGGACGGGUGAGGAAUACAUCGGAAUCUACUUUUUCGUGGGGGAUAACGUAGGGAAACUUACGCUAAUACCGCAUACGACCUACGGGUGAAAGUAGGGGAUCUUCGGACCUUGCGCGAUUGAAUGAGCCGAUGUCGGAUUAGCUAGUUGGCGGGGUAAAGGCCCACCAAGGCGACGAUCCGUAGCUGGUCUGAGAGGAUGAUCAGCCACACUGGAACUGAGACACGGUCCAGACUCCUACGGGAGGCAGCAGUGGGGAAUAUUGGACAAUGGGCGCAAGCCUGAUCCAGCCAUACCGCGUGGGUGAAGAAGGCCUUCGGGUUGUAAAGCCCUUCUGUUGGGAAAGAAAAGCAGCAGGUUAAUACCCCGCUGUUCUGACGGUACCCAAAGAAUAAGCACCGGCUAACUUCGUG
rnacentral:rRNA from 1 species